AUAUGCUUGUUCCAAAGCUUAAGCCAUGCAUGUCUAAGAACAAUCGAUCUCAGUGAAUCUGCGAACGGCUCCGUAUAUCUGUGGUCACCCGCCGCCCUCCGCCCGGAGGGGACGCAAUUCCCCCCUCCGGCAGCGGAUAACCACGGUAAUUCUGCGGCUAAUACGUGUACGAAGCGAGGGGCGUCUGCGUAUGCGGUCGCCUCCGGCCUUGCCGCCCAUCUAAGGCGCGGGCUUCGGCCCUCCGGCUUGAUGCAGGCAAGUUGCCCUACCGGUCACCUCGUGGCUGGAGUAGGCGCCGGACUUCAGACCUAUCAACUAUACGGCUUGGGCGAGUCCCUCCGUGGUUGCGACGGGUACAGAGGAUCAGGGUUCGGUCCUGGAGAGGUAGCCUGAGAGAUCGCUACUACUUCUAAGGAAGGCAGCAGGCGCGCAACGUUCCCAAUGGGGACACCCUGAGGACGUGACGGAAUAUAUCAAUGCUCCACCUAUAAAAGUGGGGCAAUUGAAAUGGGGACUAGCCAAACCCCUUACCGAGUAACGAUUGGAGGACAAGUCUGGUGCCAGCACCCGCGGUAAUUCCAGCUCCAAUAGCAUCUAGUUAAGUUGUUGCAGUUAAAACGCUCGUAGUCCAAGUUGGUGCGUACGCCGCCCGACUAGUAGCGGCCGGCACAGCGUCCCCCCUCUUCUGGGGCCGGGCGCUCCCCGGCUGUCAACCUCGGGAGCUCGGGCGUACCACUAUACUUGCCGGAGCCUUAAAGCCGCUGGCGGUCCUUCAGUGGUCCGCCUCCUGGCCUCCGGCGCUUUACUUUGAGUAAAUGUGAGCGCUCCACGCAGGCCACUUUGGCCCUUGCAACCCGCAGCAAAGAAUAAUCUUACGGGCCCCCUCAGAUUGCGCCUAGCGAGGGGGGGGCCAAUCGAUCGAUGGGUUGGAUCGGGGUGGGCCACAUGGCGGGGUUAGGGGUGAAAUCCAUUGAUCCUCGCCAGGUGAUCGAACGCGAAAGCAGCCCACAAGUACCUCUCUAUUGAUCAAGAACGAAAGUCUGGGGAUCGAAGAUGAUUAGAUACCAUCGUAGUCCAGACCCUAAACGAUGCCGGCCACGGAUGGGCCGCCGUCCAUAUCGACCCAGUCCGAACCUUACGGGAAACCAUAAGCGUUUGGGCUCUGGGGGGAGUAUGGUCGCAAGGCUGAAACUUAAAGGAAUUGACGGAAGAUCACACAAGGAGUGGAGCCUGCGGCUUAAUUUGACUCAACACGGGGAAACUCACUAGGGCAAGAGGGGGGGGUGAUCGACAGCUAAGCAGGGCUUUCUUGAUUCCCCCAGUGGUGGUGCAUGGUCGUUCUUAGUUCGUGGAUUGAUUUGUCUGGUCUAUUCCGUUAACGAGCGAGAACCUGCCCUUCGUUGUUCGGUCCUUGGGCUAGCCAGGACUGCUGGCGCAAGUCGGCGGUCUAGGCGUCGCGCCCCUGGGUACCCUUGCAUACUGGAGGGAUCGGUAGCGAGAAGUUGCCGGAAGUUGGUCAAUAACAGGUCAGUGAUGCCCUUAGAUGCUCUAGGCUGCACGCGCGCUACAAUGGGGGUGGCAACGGGUGCCUGCGCCUAACCGGCGGCGGGUAAUCCGCCGAAACACCCUCGUAUCUGGGACCGAGCCAUGUAAGCUGGCUCGCAAACAAGGAAUUUCUAGUAGUCGUGGG
rnacentral:rRNA from 1 species